rnacentral:rRNA from 1 species
UCGCUAAAGGGUGCCACGGGAGGCCACGCCGAAAAACAAACCCAUUUCUAAGGUUGACCUCGGAUCAGGUAGGGAUACCCGCUGAACUUAAGCAUAUCAAUAAGCGGAGGA